GAGAGAAGUACAUGUUUAGAAAUUACAACAUUAAAUUUGUUGUUACUUGCAAUAUUACAAGUGCUCAAAUUUGAUACAGAUUGCUAAUAUUAUGAAGAGUAUUACUAUCCAUUAAGAGCACAUUAUUGAGAUUUAAAACCUCAUUCCAAUUUUUUCAUGACUUGUCUUCAAAUAGAGGUAAGAUCUUCUCAAAUCAGAGGACAAAUGACCUUAGUUUAACUCCACACUUUGCAGCAACCGAGACUAGCACUAACCAUAAGAGUAAUAGCAACUCCUCACCUUGUGGUAUGAGUGUACCCGACAAUGUGAAUAACAAUAGCUAUUAACUAACCUACGGGGGAAGUGUUUGCUUUGAACAUUGGCCAAGAUUGUUGACAGGUGAUUCAACAGGAGUGCUGGAAAAGCUUUCUUUCAACAUGAUUUCAAGGUUUCAUACUUCCCACCGAUUGUUGGGUGUUUCAGCUGUGCACUUCGCUGACACCCACAAAAACCCUCUUGAAAAACGGCUCGUUUGAUUGAUCACACAAAAAACACAUUCGUAGUACUGAUGGGUUUGAACCUCAUGAUCCUCAUGUUUCACACUUCACAUGUUGGCUACCUGCAUUCUAUCAAAUCAUUUCAUGUUACCUGCUUUUCUAUCAAAAAUGUCUCCUCAUUUAAUGCUGCCUUCUAAAGUAUAUUUCCCUUUUGAUGAAUUAGAGGGAGGAGGUUGUGAGUUCAGCAGACAGUCAAUGUUUCCGGAAACUUCUCCAAGUCUAUGUCAGCUUGAAAUUUUUAGUAGUAUUAGGUCUAAAAUAUGAUGGAAAGACUUCAUUUUUCGUGUCUGUUUAUAGAAUGGGUCACUGGGAGUGGACGUUGGAUUCGAGACGUGAUGUGCCGUGGUAAACAUUGUGGCAUGUGAAAGGAGUUUGGUCCUGCAUAGAGUGGGGAUGAUCUAAUGAGCUGCAACUCUUGGAACGUCGAGUGAUUUUCUGACAGUUUCUGUAAUCUGGUAUGAAUGAGGGUUGUUGUCGACGAUGAUGGUCUUGCUGAGGGGCCUGCCCAAGCGAGACAGAUCCUUCACAAAUCCACCCUGCAUGGGACGGCAGGAGUUUCGGUAGAGGCGGUACUGGACCAGAUUCUCACGGUCCAGCACGUCCAGCAGUGGGUCUGCAUACUUUCGCAAACUGGCUGUGAAGACAACAACUUCAAACUUCUGAGACACUGCCUGCAGGAAACGGUCGACGUAGGGGCGCUUCAGCACGUACACGGUAGUUAUCCGCCCUUCAAUUUCGACGUUUAUGAGGAAGUCGUAGUUGUGGGUGGGUUUGAAGGACGAAUGGACUAGGGUUUCGUCCAAGUCCAACACGAGCGUCUUCUUCCCAUGGUCCUCCCGCCUCAUGGGCGGCAGGUUCAUGGUUUCGGUCAUACAUUCUUCUUCUGCAUCCAACUUAAUACGUUUUCAUCGGUCAUGAUCAUCACUUUUGCUUCACUUUCACUUCUUUUCUUUUUGGGCGCUUUCUAUGUGUAUCUACCCUGGCCUCAUCUUGAUCUGUAGCUGCAAAAAUUGCUGCACAUGCAUUUUCUGUGAUCAAUUUUUUUUCACAGAGUUGAUGCUUGGUUUGUAAAACCCUUAUCCCCCCUCAUCAUAACCAUGUAAAUCUAUCGUCUGA